rnacentral:lncRNA from 1 species
GAAGCCAUCAUCUAAGCGAUCGUCAACAAAAACAUAUUUGGCCGCUACGGCCGCUCAAUGGGGAUUGGGCAAAUUAGCUAGGAUUCGGGUCUGAGGGCCUGCCUUAGGCUUUGGAGAGUGGUCACCGGAGUGGGACGGGAUGGAGGCCGCAUCCAGCGAGUCCUUGGCGGCAAAGAUGGAGAAUCUUGCUGCCCGCUCCACAAGGGCAGUGUUGGAGGG